GGCGGCCGUAACUAUAACGGUCCUAAGGUAGCGAAAUUCCUUGUCGGGUAAGUUCCGACCUGCACGAAUGGCGUAAUGAUGGCCAGGCUGUCUCCACCCGAGACUCAGUGAAAUUGAACUCGCUGUGAAGAUGCAGUGUACCCGCGGCAAGACGGAAAGACCCCGUGAACCUUUACUAUAGCUUGACACUGAACAUUGAGCCUUGAUGUGUAGGAUAGGUGGGAGGCUUUGAAGUGUGGACGCCAGUCUGCAUGGAGCCGGCCUUGAAAUACCACCCUUUAAUGUUUGAUGUUCUAACGUGGACCCGUGAUCCGGGUUGCGGACAGUGUCUGGUGGGUAGUUUGACUGGGGCGGUCUCCUCCUAAAGAGUAACGGAGGAGCACGAAGGUUGGCUAAUCCUGGUCGGACAUCAGGAGGUUAGUGCAAUGGCAUAAGCCAGCUUGACUGCGAGCGUGACGGCGCGAGCAGGUGCGAAAGCAGGUCAUAGUGAUCCGGUGGUUCUGAAUGGAAGGGCCAUCGCUCAACGGAUAAAAGGUACUCCGGGGAUAACAGGCUGAUACCGCCCAAGAGUUCAUAUCGACGGCGGUGUUUGGCACCUCGAUGUCGGCUCAUCACAUCCUGGGGCUGAAGUAGGUCCCAAGGGUAUGGCUGUUCGCCAUUUAAAGUGGUACGCGAGCUGGGUUUAGAACGUCGUGAGACAGUUCGGUCCCUAUCUGCCGUGGGCGCUGGAGAACUGAGGGGGGCUGCUCCUAGUACGAGAGGACCGGAGUGGACGCAUCACUGGUGUUCGGGUUGUCAUGCCAAUGGCACUGCCCGGUAGCUAAAUGCGGAAGAGAUAAGUGCUGAAAGCAUCUAAGCACGAAACUUGCCCCGA
rnacentral:rRNA from 1 species